rnacentral:rRNA from 1 species
GACGAACCGUGCGAACGUUGUUCGGAAUCACUGGGCUUAAAGGGCGCGUAGGCGGCUUGCCAAGUCAGGGGUGAAAUCUUUCGGCUCAACCGGAAAAGUGCCUUUGAUACUGGCAGGCUCGAGGGAGGUAGGGGUAUGUGGAACUUCCGGUGGAGCGGUGAAAUGCGUUGAUAUCGGAAGGAACGCCGGUGGCGAAAGCGACGUACUGGACCUCUUCUGACGCUGAGGCGCGAAAGCUAGGGGAGCAAACGGG